rnacentral:rRNA from 1 species
AACGAACGCUGGCGGCAGGCUUAACACAUGCAAGUCGAACGCCCGUAGCAAUACGGGAGUGGCGGACGGGUGAGUAACGCGUGGGAACGUGCCCUGAGGUAUGGAAUAACUGAGGGAAACUUCAGCUAAUACCGUAUGAGCCCCGCAAGGGGGAAAGAUUUAUCGCCUUAGGAGCGGCCCGCGUCGGAUUAGCUAGUUGGUGGGUAACGGCUUACCAAGGCUUCGAUCCGUAGCUGGUCUGAGAGGACGAUCAGCCACACUGGGACUGAGACACGGCCCAGACUCCUACGGGAGGCAGCAGUGGGGAAUCUUGCGCAAUGGGGGCAACCCUGACGCAGCCAUGCCGCGUGAAUGAUGAAGGCCUUAGGGUUGUAAAGUUCUUUUGCCCGUGACGAUGAUGACGGUAACGGGAGAAUAAGCUCCGGCUAACUUCGUGCCAGCCGCCGCAGUAAGAC